AACUAUAACGGUCCUAAGGUAGCGAAAUUCCUUGUCAGGUAAGUUCUGACCCGCAUGAAAGGCGUAAUGAUUUGGGCACUGUCUCAACAGCCCGCCCGGCGAAAUUGUAGUACCGGUGAAGAUGCCGGUUACCCGCGACAAGACGGAAAGACCCCAUGGAGCUUUACUGUAGCCUAAUAUUGGGUUUCGAUGUUGCAUGCACAGGAUAGAUGGGACUCUGGGAAACCAAGGCUUUGGCUUUGGCGGAGAGGCCGUUGGGAUACCAUCCUUGCGAUAUUGGAAUUCUAACCUGCGGCUCUGAAUCGAGUCGGGGGACAUUGUUAGGUGGGCAGUUUGACUGGGGCGGUCGCCUCCUAAAGAGUAACGGAGGCGUUCAAAGGUUCGCUCAGCUUGAACGGAAAUCAAGCAAAAGAGUGCAAACGCAGAAGCGAGCCUAACUGCGAGACUGACGGGUCGAGCAGUAACGAAAGUUGGAGUUAGUGAUCCGGUGGUAUGUGAGUGGAAAUGCCAUCGCUCAACGGAUAAAAGUUACCCUGGGGAUAACAGGCUGAUCUCCCCCAAGAGUCCACAUCGACGGGGAGGUUUGGCACCUCGAUGUCGGCUCAUCGCAUCCUGGGGCUGUAUUCGGUCCCAAGGGUUUGGCUGUUCGCCAAUUAAAGCGGUACGCGAGCUGGGUUCAGAACGUCGUGAGACAGUUCGGUCCCUAUCUGUCGUGGGCGCAGGAUAUUUGAUGGGAGCUGUCCCUAGUACGAGAGGACCGGGACGGACGUACCUCUGGCGCACCAGUUGUUCCGCCAGGAGCAUAGCUGGGCAACUACGUACGGAUCGGAUAAACGCUGAAAGCAUCUAAGCGUGAAGCCGACCCAAAGAUAAGAUAUCCCACUGAUUCAAUCAGGUAAGAUCCCUUGUAGACUACGAGGUUGAUAGGCACGAUGUGUAAGUGGAGUGAUCCAUUCAGCAAGUGUGUACUAAUAGAUCGAGGGCUUGACCAC
rnacentral:rRNA from 1 species